GCCGACGUAGCCAAGCGGUUGAAGGCAACUGAUUUGUAAUCAGUCCCCAGCAAUGGGCACGUGGGUUCGAAUCCCGCCGUCGGCU
rnacentral:tRNA from 1 species